AACGAACGCUGGCGGCAGGCUUAACACAUGCAAGUCGAGCGCCCCGCAAGGGGAGCGGCAGACGGGUGAGUAACGCGUGGGAAUCUACCGUGCCCUACGGAAUAGCUCCGGGAAACUGGAAUUAAUACCGUAUACGCCCUACGGGGGAAAGAUUUAUCGGGGUAUGAUGAGCCCGCGUUGGAUUAGCUAGUUGGUGGGGUAAAGGCCUACCAAGGCGACGAUCCAUAGCUGGUCUGAGAGGAUGAUCAGCCACAUUGGGACUGAGACACGGCCCAAACUCCUACGGGAGGCAGCAGUGGGGAAUAUUGGACAAUGGGCGCAAGCCUGAUCCAGCCAUGCCGCGCGAGUGAUGAAGGUCUUAGGAUUGUAAAGCUCUUUCACCGGUGAAGAUAAUGACGGUAACCGGAGAAGAAGCCCCGGCUAACUUCGUGCCAGCCGCCGCAGUAAGAC
rnacentral:rRNA from 1 species